rnacentral:rRNA from 1 species
GUCCACGCCGUAAACGGUGGGCGCUAGGUGUGGGUUCCUUCCACGGAAUCCGUGCCGUAGCUAACGCAUUAAGCGCCCCGCCUGGGGAGUACGGCCGCAAGGCUAAAACUCAAAGGAAUUGACGGGGGCCCGCACAAGCGGCGGAGCAUGUGGAUUAAUUCGAUGCAACGCGAAGAACCUUACCUGGGUUUGACAUAUACCGGAAAGCUGCAGAGAUGUGGCCCCCCUUGUGGUCGGUAUACAGGUGGUGCAUGGCUGUCGU